rnacentral:lncRNA from 1 species
UAGAACUGAGUCAGAUUAAAGCAAACGGCCAAAAACAAGGACAAAGUCCAAGCUGUCCAAAAGAAAGACUCAGGAGACAAGACAGAAAUUUUGGUGAUUGGGGGAUUACUCACCAGAAGACAUUGAUGAACAUUUCAUUUCAUUGAGGAACACAUUGAUCAACAUUUCAGCAGAGAAACCAAAUUUCUGAAGACUUGGCAUCUCAAGGAAGACUCUUUUGAAGUCAAUUUCCCUGACCCUGGAUCCACAGAGCCACCUGCAGAUGUCACACUGAAACUUUGCUGUUGACACACCACCUGUUUUUCCUUGUUCUCCCUCGGUUUUUGCUUUCAUCAAGAAAAUUCUUCAAACAGCUGGGUGAUGCCAAUACAUGGAGCCCGCUGGGAAGUACAUUCUUGUUCCACACUAGAAAACCAGACUUAAUUAGUCAGUCACAUUUAGAGUACUUUUUCUUCUCCAUGACAACUCUAAUCACGUUAGCCAUAUUUGAACUGGAAAAUAGCAGUGUUUUCAGCCCCACAUGAUGAACACAAAUUUAUGUUUAAAUACAAAUAUUAGAGAAAGACAAAUAGGUUGACAUAAUUAUGUGGUUGAUUCUCCUGUGGCUAGAAAAAAAAACAAAUGUGCCACCUCAUCACCUCAGUCUUCCUCACUGAGACCUGUUAUCUAGAAAGGGGAUAUUCUAGGGGAUCACAAUGGCGAAUUAGUGAGUUUGGGGAUUAUUCUUUUGUUUUGCUUUCUUUUUUCACUCAGGAAGAGUGACUAAAACCACGUGGCUAUUUUUAUGUCAUGACUUAAAUACAUCUUCAUCGCCAAGCAUUGAAAUUUCACUAUCACUGUGUUCCUU